rnacentral:rRNA from 1 species
UACGUAGGGGGCAAGCGUUGUCCGGAAUCAUUGGGCGUAAAGCGCGUGUAGGCGGCUCGGUAAGUCCGCUCUGAAAGCCCGGGGCUCAACCCCGGGAGGCGGGUGGAUACUGCUGAGCUCGAGUCCGGAAGAGGAGUGUGGAAUUCCUGGUGUAGCGGUGAAAUGCGCAGAUAUCAGGAGGAACACCAAUGGCGAAGGCAGCAUCCUGGACCGGCAUUGACGCUGAGGCGCGAAAGCCAGGGGAGGCGAAACGGG